UACGUAGGUGGCAAGCGUUGUUCGGAAUUACUGGGCGUAAAGCGCACGUAGGCGGCUAUUCAAGUCGGGGGUGAAAGCCCGGGGCUCAACCCCGGAAUUGCCCUCGAAACUAGAUAGCUAGAAUCUUGGAGAGGUCAGUGGAAUUCCGAGUGUAGAGGUGAAAUUCGUAGAUAUUCGGAAGAACACCAGUGGCGAAGGCGACUGACUGGACAAGUAUUGACGCUGAGGUGCGAAAGCGUGGGGAGCAAACAGG
rnacentral:rRNA from 1 species